AUUGAACGCUGGCGGCAUGCCUUACACAUGCAAGUCGAACGGUAACAGGUCUUCGGAUGCUGACGAGUGGCGAACGGGUGAGUAAUACAUCGGAACGUGCCCGAUCGUGGGGGAUAACGAAGCGAAAGCUUUGCUAAUACCGCAUACGAUCUAAGGAUGAAAGCAGGGGACCGCCAGGCCUUGCGCGAACGGAGCGGCCGAUGGCAGAUUAGGUAGUUGGUGGGAUAAAAGCUUACAAAGCCGACGAUCUGUGGCGGGUCUAAGAGGACGACCAGUCACACUGGGACUGAGACACGGCCCAGACUCCUACGGGAGGCAGCAGUGGGGAAUUUUGGACAAUGGGCGAAAGCCUGAUCCAGCCAUGCCGCGUGCAGGAUGAAGGCCUUCGGGUUGUAAACUGCUUUUGUACGGAACGAAAAGACUCUGGUUAAUACCUGGGGUCCAUGACGGUACCGUAAGAAUAAGCACCGGCUAACUACGUGCCAGCCGCCGCCGUAAAAC
rnacentral:rRNA from 1 species